rnacentral:lncRNA from 1 species
UGGUGUGAUUCGGUUUGAGCAACGGAUCCUGACGCGAUACAUCUUCGUAAUGAAAAUCGAGUGGAUUCAGGAGUUGGCUUUUCAAGUGUAUAUAGAAUAAGCACUGUGAACUGUCUGUUUCAAAAAGACAACUAUAACUAUAAAAUUAGAAACCGACAUCUUUAUCAAAAUGGCCCAAGAUUUUUUUAAUAUAGUAGGACCUUGGCCCAUUUUUGCUGAUAUCGUCUACUAUUUUAUUU